rnacentral:sRNA from 1 species
GCCAGGUGCAGUGGUGAAAGCCUGUAAUCCUAGCAACUUGGGAGGCUGAGGCAGGAGGAUCACAAGUUCAAAGCUAGACUUAGCAAAAAAGCAAGGUGCUAAGCAACUCAGUGAGACCCUGUCUCUA